UCAAAAGUCGCUAGUUGUUUUAAUCUUAAUGGUGAAAUACUAUGGAAAGACAAUGUAAGUAUCGGCAGACCAGAUGAUGGUAUAUAAAUAUCAGUUGAUGAUUGGGGUCAUUGUUAUAUACCAAGUGCUGGGGAUAAAAUUUAUCAUUAUUAUAUCAAACGACGGAAAACAACGAAAAUUGAUAUUUCCAGAGUCACAAUAUUUGGAUCCAAGGGCAGUAUAUUUUGAUAAAAGGAG
rnacentral:lncRNA from 1 species